rnacentral:rRNA from 1 species
AUUGAACGCUGGCGGCAGGCCUAACACAUGCAAGUCGAGCGAGCGGCGGCCGGGUGAGUAAUGUAUGGGGACUGCCCGAUAGAGGGGGAUAACUACUGGAAACGGUGGCUAAUACCGCAUACUAUCGGAUAACCCAUAGGGGAUUAGCUAGUAGGUGGGGUAAAGGCUCACCUAGGCUACGAUCUCUAGCUGGUCUGAGAGGAUGAUCAGCCAGAGUGGGAAGGAGACACGGCCGAGAAUCCAACGGAGGAAGCAGUGGGGAAUAUUGCACAAGGGGCGCAAGCCUGAUGCAGGCAUGCCGCGUGUAUGAAGAAGGCCUUAGGGUUGUAAAGUACGUUCAGCGGGGAGGCGGUACCCGCAGAAGAAGCACCGGCUAACGCCGUGCCAGCGGCCGCGGUAAUUC